AGCGGCGGACGGGUGAGUAAUGCCUAGGAAUCUGCCUGGUAGUGGGGGAUAACGUUUCGAAAGGAACGCUAAUACCGCAUACGUCCUACGGGAGAAAGUGGGGGAUCUUCGGACCUCACGCUAUCAGAUGAGCCUAGGUCGGAUUAGCUAGUUGGUGGGGUAAUGGCCCACCAAGGCGACGAUCCGUAACUGGUCUGAGAGGAUGAUCAGUCACACUGGAACUGAGACACGGUCCAGACUCCUACGGGAGGCAGCAGUGGGGAAUAUUGGACAAUGGGCGAAAGCCUGAUCCAGCCAUGCCGCGUGUGUGAAGAAGGUCUUCGGAUUGUAAAGCACUUUAAGUUGGGAGGAAGGGCAGUAAGUUAAUACCUUGCUGUUUUGACGUUACCAACAGAAUAAGCACCGGCUAACUUCGUGCCAGCAGCCGCGGUAAUACGAAGG
rnacentral:rRNA from 1 species